rnacentral:rRNA from 1 species
CGGGAACGAGUAGAGCGGCGCACGGGUGAGUAACGCGUGGAUAAUCUACCCAUAGAUUGGGAUAACGUCUGGAAACGGGCGCUAAUACCGAAUAGACUCUAGGAUAAAGAUUUUACGGGUAAAGGUGGCCUCUAUUUAUAAGCUAUUGUCUAUGGAUGAGUCCGCGUCUCAUUAGGUAGUUGGUAGGGUAAAGGCCUACCAAGCCUGUGAUGAGUAGCCGGCCUGAGAGGGUGAUCGGCCACACUGGGACUGGAACACGGCCCAGACUCCUACGGGAGGCAGCAGUGGGGAAUAUUGCGCAAUGGACGGAAGUCUGACGCAGCGACGCCGCGUGAGGAUGAAGGUUCCUUCGGAUCGUAAACCUCUGUCAAGAGGGAAGUAAAGUGAUAUACUCUAACAUAGUAUAUUUUUGACGGUACCUCUGAAGGAAGCACCGGCUAACUCCGUGCCAGCAGCUGC